AGAUACAUGAAAUGGAAAUAAUCAAAGAACUGAUGGAAAGGCUACCACACAUGAAAGAGCUUAUGGAUAUGUACUGUGGCCCUGAUAGAGUGACUGCAAAGCAACAAAUGCAGGAGUUAGACAGAGUCUCAAAAACUCUACCAGAGAAUAUACCUUCAUCUGUGAAGAGGUUCACUAAUCAUGCCGUUCUUUCACUUCGAGUUUUAUUUUUUUCAACUUAGUUUAGUUUCCUGUAAAUCUUAUAAUGUGUCUUUCUUUGAAAUGGAAAACACUGAAUAUGACAAACUGGAAUAUUUAAACAGGCCUUUGAGUGUUGACUUGGAAAUGGAAAUGAAUGUAAUUAUUUUGCAAU